rnacentral:rRNA from 1 species
GCGGCAUGCUUUACACAUGCAAGUCGAACGGCAGCGCGGGGCAACCUGGCGGCGAGUGGCGAACGGGUGAGUAAUAUAUCGGAACGUACCCAAGAGUGGGGGAUAACGUAGCGAAAGUUACGCUAAUACCGCAUACGAUCUAUGGAUGAAAGUGGGGGAUCGCAAGACCUCAUGCUCCUGGAGCGGCCGAUAUCUGAUUAGCUAGUUGGUGAGGUAAAGGCUCACCAAGGCGACGAUCAGUAGCUGGUCUGAGAGGACGACCAGCCACACUGGAACUGAGACACGGUCCAGACUCCUACGGGAGGCAGCAGUGGGGAAUUUUGGACAAUGGGCGCAAGCCUGAUCCAGCAAUGCCGCGUGAGUGAAGAAGGCCUUCGGGUUGUAAAGCUCUUUUGUCAGGGAAGAAACGGUGGGAGCUAAUAUCUCUUGCUAAUGACGGUACCUGAAGAAUAAGCACCGGCUAACUACGUGCCAGCAGCCGCGGUAAUACGUAGGGUGCAAGCGUUAAUCGGAAUUACUGGGCGUAAAGCGUGCGCAGGCGGUUUUGUAAGUCUGUCGUGAAAGCCCCGGGCUCAACCUGGGAAUUGCGAUGGAGACUGCAAGGCUUGAAUCUGGCAGAGGGGGGUAGAAUUCCACGUGUAGCAGUGAAAUGCGUAGAGAUGUGGAGGAACACCGAUGGCGAAGGCAGCCCCCUGGGUCAAGAUUGACGCUCAUGCACGAAAGCGUGGGGAGCAAACAGGAUUAGAUACCCUGGUAGUCCACGCCCUAAACGAUGUCUACUAGUUGUCGGGGUUUUAAUUAACUUGGUAACGCAGCUAACGCGUGAAGUAGACCGCCUGGGGAGUACGGUCGC